UACGGAGGGGGCAAGCGUUAUUCGGAAUUAUUGGGCGUAAAGGGCGCGUAGGCGGCUUGACAAGUCAAAGGUGAAAUCCCUCGGCUCAACUGAGGAACUGCCUUUGAAACUGUCUGGCUUGAGGCCGGGAGGGGGUAGCGGAAUUCCCAGUGUAGCGGUGAAAUGCGUAGAUAUCUGGAGGAACAUCAGUGGCGAAGGCGACACCCUGGACUCAUACUGACACUGAGGUGCGAAAGCGUGGGGAGCAAACAGG
rnacentral:rRNA from 1 species